rnacentral:rRNA from 1 species
UACGAAGGGGGCUAGCGUUGUUCGGAAUUACUGGGCGUAAAGGGCGCGUAGGCGGUCCCUCAAGUCAGGCGUGAAAGCCCCGGGCUCAACCUGGGAACCGCGCUUGAGACUGAUGGGCUAGAGUUCGGGAGAGGAUGGUGGAAUUCCCAGUGUAGAGGUGAAAUUCGUAGAUAUUGGGAAGAACACCGAUGGCGAAGGCAGCCACCUGGACCGACACUGACGCUGAGGCGCGAAAGCGUGGGGAGCAAACAGG